UGUCGAUCUCAGAGAUUCUGGUGCCGAGGAUCUCGUCUCCGCUCUCAGUACAAAACCAUCACUGACGGAGCUGAACCUGGGAUUAAACUCUCUGACAGACCGAUCUGUCCCCGCUCUCCGCCGCCUCAUACUGACCCUCCCGAGUCUGGAGUGGAUCCGGCUGGAGGGGAAUCGGUUCAGUGAGACCGGGGGGAAGGAACUGAGACCUCUGCGGGGAGUCAGACCCGGACUGAUGGUGGAUCUGUGAACAUCUGAAUGUGGUGAAUCGGUUCAGUGAGACCGGGAUGAAGGAACUGAGAUCUCUACAGGAACCCAGACCCGGACUGAGAGUGGAUCUGUGAACAUCUGAAUGUGGUGAAUCGGUUCAGUGAGACCGGGAUGAAGGAACUGAGAUCUCUACAGGAACCCAGACCCGGACUGAUGGUGGAUCUGUGAACAUCUGAAUGUGGGGAAUCGGUUCAGUGAGACCGGGAUGAAGGAACUGAGAUCUCUACAGGAACCCAGACCCGGACUGAGAGUGGAUCUGUGAGCAUCUGAAUGUGGGGAAUCGGUUCAGUGAGACCGGGAUGAAGGAACUGAGAUCUCUACAGGAACCCAGACCCGGACUGAUGGUGGAUCUGUAAACAUCUGAAUGUGGGGAAUCGGUUCAGUGAGACCGGGAUGAAGGAACUGAGAUCUCUACAGGAACCCAGACCCGGACUGAUGGUGGAUCUGAAUGUGUGAACAUCCCCGCCCGCGGGAUGGGGACAUUUGGCCGACUCCCCGCCCUCCCCUUUAACUCCCGCCCUUACCUUUAACGGCCGCGCGCCGGGGCUGAUUCCCAACGGUUUUAACGGAACCGGCUCGGGCCUCGCGCUGUGUGCGUCGCUCGCAGCGGUCCCGCAGUGACGUGUUUCCGCCUGUUGUCCGGCGGGGCAGCAUCCGCCGGAAGUGCGUGGAGGAGACUCCCCACGUGACUCCCCGGGGAAUUACCCGGACAGGAAGAGCCCGGGGUCCGGGGCUCAGUCUGGGACACCGGUGUCCCGGGGUGGAGGGGAUGGUCCCGGGAGAGAAUCCUUUUGCCCCCUUUGCUGAGGACGGUGCAUUCGGCAGCCUGGCCGAUAUAAUGAUGUUAAAUGGACAAAUCCCUCGGCAGUGACCCUGGAUCUGCAGCGAUCCCGGACACGGCCCUGAAGUGUGAUUUUAUAAUCAGUUUUAUAAUUUUAUAAUCAGUUCCCCGAUGCAGAGUGACGGUGAGAAACGGGACUGGUUAUUAUUCAACCGGUCACCCCUUGUCGCCGGUCAGUUAAUUGUGUGUGACUGUCAGCAGAUUAUUUAUUACCGCACGUUAGCAGCUCACACAUUGUUUCAUUGAUAUUUCUCAUAAAAAUCAAUAAACCACUGUAUCUUCCUGU